ACUCCUACGGGAGGCAGCAGUGGGGAAUAUUGCACAAUGGGCGCAAGCCUGAUGCAGCCAUGCCGCGUGUAUGAAGAAGGCCUUCGGGUUGUAAAGUACUUUCAGCAGUGAGGAAGGUGGGUAUGUUAAUAGCAUACUCAUUUGACGUUAGCUGCAGAAGAAGCACCGGCUAACUCCGUGCCAGCAGCCGCGGUAAUACGGAGGGUGCGAGCGUUAAUCGGAAUUACUGGGCGUAAAGCGCAUGCAGGUGGUUUGUUAAGUCAGAUGUGAAAGCCCGGGGCUCAACCUCGGAAUUGCAUUUGAAACUGGCAAACUAGAGUACUGUAGAGGGGGGUAGAAUUUCAGGUGUAGCGGUGAAAUGCGUAGAGAUCUGAAGGAAUACCGGUGGACGAAGGCGGCCCCCUGGACAGAUACUGACACUCAGAUGCGAAAGCGUGGGGAGCAAACAGGAUUAGAUACCCUGGUAGGCCCUGC
rnacentral:rRNA from 1 species